CCUACGGGAGGCAGCAGUGGGGAAUUUUGCACAAUGGGGGAAACCCUGAUGCAGCGCCGCCGCGUGAGUGAAGAAGUCAUUCGUUAUGUAAAGCUCUAUCAGCAGGGAAGAAAAUGACGGUACCUGAGUAAGAAGCCCCGGCUAACUACGUGCCAGCAGCCGCGGUAAUACGGAGGGGGCAAGCGUUAUCCGGAUUUACUGGGUGUAAAGGGGGCGUAGGCGGCACGGUAAGUCUGGAGUGAAAGGCGGGGGCUCAACACCCGGACUGCUCUGGAAACUGUACGGCUGGAGUGCAGGAGAGGUAAGUGGAAUUCCUGGUGUAGCGGUGAAAUGCGUAGAGAUUAGGAGGAACACCAGUGGCGAAGGCGGCUUACUGGACUGUAACUGACGCUGAGGCUCGAAAGCGUGGGGAGCAAACAGGAUUAGAUACCCCAGUAGUC
rnacentral:rRNA from 1 species